GAUGAACGCUGGCGGCGUGCUUAACACAUGCAAGUCGAACGGUGAAGGCGGAGCUUGCUCUGCUGGAUCAGUGGCGAACGGGUGAGUAACACGUGAGCAUUCUGCCCCUGACUCUGGGAUAAGCGCUGGAAACGGCGUCUAAUACUGGAUACGAGCUGCGAAGGCAUCUUCAGCAGCUGGAAAGAACUUCGGUCAGGGAUGAGCUCGCGGCCUAUCAGCUUGUUGGUGAGGUAACGGCUCACCAAGGCGUCGACGGGUAGCCGGCCUGAGAGGGUGACCGGCCACACUGGGACUGAGACACGGCCCAGACUCCUACGGGAGGCAGCAGUGGGGAAUAUUGCACAAUGGGCGAAAGCCUGAUGCAGCAACGCCGCGUGAGGGACGACGGCCUUCGGGUUGUAAACCUCUUUUAGCAGGGAAGAAGCGAAAGUGACGGUACCUGCAGAAAAAGCGCCGGCUAACUACGUG
rnacentral:rRNA from 1 species